GAAUUCUUCCAAUACAAAGAUCCCAUCCUUCUGAGUAAAGCACUUGCGGAUAUGAUCGAGUCUUACAAAAAACUGCAAAUAACACGAUCAUUUCGCAUUAGUUAGCAUUAUAUAAAUAUCAAUGGAUUAUUCGAGCAUCUACUCGUACAUGCACACUUGUGAUUAUUCUUCUAUAUGGUCUUUUUAAUGCCCCGGACAAAGUUGUGUGUGCCAACAACGCUUUGGAGAAAAAAGCGUGUUUUUUUAUCGUAAUAAUGCUCGUUUCGGUUGGUGGUAAUAAGCUUUUCAAUUAAAUUAAAUUUUACGUAUUAUCGUAAUACACAUCACAGUGCACCUUGAUUACUUAAUAAAGCUGGAUUUUAAUGAUUAAAGAAAUGUCACUUAACGCUUUGAUCAUUUCAGUAUUUCUUAUUCUAUUUUUCUUCAUUGUAUAAUGUAUUCAUUAUAAUUUGGAAAUUGGUAAUUAAGCGACAUUUCUUCGUCAUUGCUACCAAAGUUCAUCAUUCUAUCGGUAAUUAAUAUUAAACUUCAAGAAAAUCAAAGCAGAAUGUAAUGAACCUUGGCAUCAUGUCAUUUUUAAUUUCUUCAUAUGAAGACAAAAGCUGUUAUUGAUUAUAUUCGAGAUUUAUCUAUCUCUCUAUAAUCAAAUAUUUUUCUAAACAUAACUAUCAGUAAAUCUACUUGUGAAUCGAGGAAUCAUCUCCAGACUCGUAGUAACAAUGAUAAUUCAUUGAUGAUAUAGAUUUUAAAUUUACUAAGUAUUAAAUAUGUUAAGAAACAUUUUUCUGUCAGACAUUUAAUCUUCAAUGAUUCCUCAUAUUUUCUUUUUUUUUUUUUUUCAUUUUUUCAGUCCAUGUACACGAGAACAACCAUCGACGAGAGCAUGCAGGAAUCAACAAGGCCGAUAAAGCUGAAGAAGCUGUAUAACACCAUGCAUCAUUUUCUUCGCUAAUUAAUAUCCAAUAUCCAUUAGCGUAGAAUUGAUAAAGCGGCUAAAAGCGAUAACACGCGUGUUAGACGAAUUGUUUGCAAAAAACUGUAAUCCUUCCUCGAUUGAAUAAGUGGAAGAAUGGAAGAUCCAGUCAACCGAGGUUGUAGGUUUUUGGUGUGAUCCUGUCGUCAUCGUACACCUCACAGACUCAUACAUAAGACUGAUAUAAGAUACGUAUAGAUACAAAAUUAAGCAGAUCGUGGUGGCUAGCGAUGGGAGAUAAUAUUGAGUGGUCCUUGCAUCAAUGCAGUAAAACGGAGAUAGAAACGAAAAUACACAGAGAAGAAGAAUCAUAUAAUCGAAAGAAUAUGAACAGUAAGAGGUUGUAAGUAAAGUGGCGAAUUUUAUACCCUAAUUUCUUCACCACCAUUCGAUCGUUUAGAAAAUAGAACGACUGUAUUCUAAAUAAUUAUUAUACAAUUACAAAAUUCCGCGAAAAUCAUAGGAGAACAUUUCAGUACAUAAUAACGCUGUAUGAAAUGUAAUUUUAUAGCAAUAUAAUCGAAUGAUGGUGAACAGUUCUCAUAAACUUAUCAACAUAACAAAUCUUAGAUACUUAGUGUUAAAUCGCUGAAAUAAAUACAUUGUUAUACAAUAUUUAACAUUAGUUAGGAGGCAGAAUAACAUCGCCAAAGAAAGACAUGACACGGUAUAAUGAAGAAGAAAGACAAUAUAAGUGGAGAGAGAGAGAGAGAGAGAGAGAUAGAGAGAGAGGUUUAAAAACGAGUCGCUAAAAAAAAUGAAAUAAAAGGAAUUGGUAUACCCAAGAUGUAUAUAUAUAUAUGAAUAAGAUCGGAUGCGGUUUCAACAUUACAUGUACAAAAUUGGACAAUGUAGAAAAAAGGAAACGUUUGCACAACCGUUUAAUAAUGUAAUACUUAUGCAGCUGCGUUUGCCCGCCGUUCCGUCGCCAAAGGCACAAAACUUUGUUCUUUGGACUGUAAGUCAUGUUCACC